rnacentral:lncRNA from 10 species
ACAGUGAGAAAACUUAAGAUCCUUCUUAAUUGAGGUGGAGCCUGAAGAACAUUGAUAAGGGCAAAAAGAACAUUUAGGUCAGUGUAGAGUUCUGCAGUUGUCCUCUGGCCUCUUCUUCAGAGUGAGAACCUUGAAAAAGGAGGGGCAAUGGAAAUCCUGUAUGGGUUUGGAGAUCUGAACUCUGAGGAGAGACAAUAUUGCAGCCCGCCUGAAUGCCAGCAGAGGAGAGGGGCAAUGUAGAGAAGAGAAGGCAACUGAGGAGUUAAGUACCUUUUCCAAGGUCACAGGAAAGUGGCGAAUGAGAGUCCUGUGAUUCCAGUCUAGGUCAUCUGAAUCUAGAUCCUGUGUUCUUGACCACUACAUGAAAUUACUGACUGGCAACCAGAUCAUAGAAUUCUCUUAUUCCUACUCCAAGGAGCCUUUUCCCAAGCCUAUUUCACACUGUAGGCAUGGAUCACCCACUUCAGAAACAGUUCUAACGACUAUAAGUCUCAAAGACAGAAGUUGCAAGCUACUGAUGUGCUGCAUAAAAAUACUCACAGGCUUGCCUGAGGAGCAGCUUUUUCUACUCCCUGAAAGAUGUGUAACUGUGGAAGAGAGAGAAGAAGGCUGAGAGAACAAGCAGAUGGGAGGAAGGAACUGAGAUACCUCAAUCCUUGGGGAAGAAAACAGAACCUUCCUUUGCAAGUACCAGGGAAGUGUAGACCGUGACACAAUGUGAAGAGUCUUCUUGUUGCUGGUCAGAGAGUUUUACCAACUACCGGCUUAGUGCCCCAAAUCAUCUGCCUCCAUCCGACUGGUUCCCACAGACAAUUCACUAACUGAUGGUUCUGGAAACGGGUAGGGAAAUUAGAUGUCCAGUGAGGAGAUGAUGGCUGGAGGAGAAUUUGGGUGGAGACAGCAACUAAUAUACCUCUUCUGUUACAGAGGCAUAGAAACAAAGGAGAGGAAAUACAG